AUUCCUGCUUCACCAGGUUGGUAAAAUACUUUUUAUUAUUAUUUUAAACAAACAUCAGUUACUUUUGAGUUUAUUGUGUUUAUUUCAUGUUUUAGGUCGAUCCAGUCUGAGAGUCACAGUCCGGGCUCCUCCACAAAUCAUGAAGUCAACCAGGAUGAAACUCAUAACUACGACUCUCUUCAACAUGGAUCAGAUGAACAUCAAGCUGUCACAUACGCUCUUAUUGAACUUAAAACCUUUGAAAAGAAGCGGAAGCAUCAUAAACCAGAGCAGAGUGCUGUUUACUCUGAGGUGAAGACGGGAGCUGCAGAGGACAGUCUGAUGUAUGCUGAGGUCAAACACCCCAAAAAAGAAAAAGCCAAGAAGAAAGCAGGUCAGUGAGGAGAGCUGCAGCAGCAAAGCCAAGAAGAAGCUUUUUAUGAAUCCACUGUUGCUGCUCUGCUGCCCAAAUAUCAGACACACUCACUUUUUAGUGUUUAUGAAGAUGAUAUUAAAUAAUAAUUUGGUAUAGACUUGGUACUGUCUUUCAGCAUAAAGCACACAGAGGUGUGUCUUGUUUCAAAUUCAUGCUCUUUAUAUUCAGCUGAUAUUUUGUAUUCUUUGUUGAGUUUUAAGAUCUACAUCAUGCACAUCAUGUAUGUAUCGCAUUGAUUUCAAAAUCCUUCUGCUCACUUUUAAAAUUCUAAAUAACCUGGACCCUUGAUCUGUGCACCCCCAUCAUGGUCUGAGGCAACCAUAACAAUUAUACCUAAAGACGGCAAAAACAAAAUGCUGUGCAGCUCAUACAGGCUGAUAUCAGUCCUCGUUUACCCCAGAUUUGAUAGGUGAAGAUCAAACUGGGUUUGUUGGGGCCUGGCAAACCUAAGACAACAUAAGAUGCUCUCUUCAUAUAAUCAAUAAUAUAACAGAAAAUAAUCAUAAAGCAGUAUUAAUUAGUUUGGAUGCCAAAAAGGCCUUUGAUUGUGUUAGCUGGACGUAUAUGUUUUUCGUCCUAGAAAGAUUUGGUUUUGCUGAAAACUCCAUUAACAGUAUUAAGACAUUAUAUUCAAUGCCUACAGUAAGAGUCAAGAUAAAUGGACGAAUCACAGACCGUAUAAGGUUGGAAAUUACUAGUAAGGGGCUUUGUACUGACCCCCCCUGUUCUGGACAACUGGUUAAGCGUUGUUGAGGAGAUUCAUAAAAUGGAAAAACUUACCUUUUUGUUAAGGUAAAGCUAUACUUAUACGACAAGAUGGGACAAGUGGCUGAAAUCUAUCCAAAAUUAGUAUGCCCACCCUCCCUUUUUUCCCUGUUUGUGCCUCCUCACAACUACAUACAUUUCUGUAUGCCUCUCCUAGGCUGCUCAUACAUCUGUACAUGUGUUGUCAAUCCAUGAAUGUAAUGUCAUGUUCUCACUGCCAGAAUUGCUUGGUGGGGAAAAGCUGUGAUUUUCAGUCGACUGCUUGUUUUGUUGUUGUUGUUGUUGUUUGUUUUCCUUUUUUGUCCUAAAAAAAUCUGUAAAACCUUUAUUAAAAACUAAGUUUUUAAUGGCUGUUUUAAAGUUUUUGUUGAAGCUGUAUUGUGAUACUACCUUUCCUUUUUUCAGUAAGAUCUAGUGCUCUACAUUUAGAAGUACUCUGACUUCAUGUAUGUAGACAUUAUUACUAUUUCUAAUUAUUGAAGAAAGAAAGAAAAGUCGGAUCAUCAAAACAAGUUGGUUAGGUCCCACUACACAUUUGUGCCCAGAGCUCUGUGUGUUCAGGUCCAGCCAUGACUUUUGAGGAUAUUGAGCUGUGCUUGUCCCGCAUGUGGCUUCCUAGAGGAACAAAACACAACUGGGUGCAAAAACAUUAUCAAUAAAAACUGUG
ensembl:lncRNA